UAGGGAAUCUUCCGCAAUGGGCGAAAGCCUGACGGAGCAACGCCGCGUGAGUGAUGAAGGUCUUCGGAUCGUAAAACUCUGUUAUUAAGGAAGAACAAAUGUGUAAGUAACUAUGCACGUCUUGACGGUACCUAAUCAGAAAGCCACGGCUAACUACGUGCCAGCAGCCGCGGUAAUACGUAGGUGGCAAGCGUUAUCCGGAAUUAUUGGGCGUAAAGCGCGCGUAGGCGGUUUUUUAAGUCUGAUGUGAAAGCCCACGGCUCAACCGUGGAGGGUCAUUGGAAACUGGAAAACUUGAGUGCAGAAGAGGAAAGUGGAAUUCCAUGUGUAGCGGUGAAAUGCGCAGAGAUAUGGAGGAACACCAGUGGCGAAGGCGACUUUCUGGUCUGUAACUGACGCUGAUGUGCGAAAGCGUGGGGAUCAAACAGG
rnacentral:rRNA from 1 species